CGUAAUGGCAGCGUAGACCCCGCCUAUGGUUUGAGUAAUCGAAAAACUGCAUUGCCACGCGAACACAGGCAAAGAAGUAAGCCUAUUUACUUCGCCAACAACACAGGAAAACGUACCACAACUUCAAAACUAUGACAUGUUGUAUAUUGUGUAGCAUAACAGCUACCAAAACAAGAGGACAAUAACAUAAUGUAAGGAGGGCAUUUUACAAGACAGACUGUGUCCAGCGCGGUAGUAAACGCCGCUGUUUCACCCGAUAACGGGCGGACUGCAGGAACGGCCGUCUUGUAAUCAUUGCCAUAUUGUUUUCUGUUUUACAAUACAGC